UUUUCUAAUGGUGAUUUCAAGUUUUAUUGUCACGUGCACAAGUACAGUGAAAUGACUUUCUUGCAAGCUCUUUUCCCAACAAUGCAGUAAUCAAUAUCAAUAUAUUGUGUUGUACUAUAAAAUAAAGUAUAAGAAAUAAGAACAACACUAAAAAGUCCUGGGAUACUGGAGCGGUAGAGGUAGAACAUCUCAUUCCAAAGGCAUUAAUGGACUUGGUCCCCCCUUUGCUGCUAUAACAGCCUCCACUCUUCGGGGAAGGCUUUCCACAAGAUUUUGGAACAUGACUAUGAGGCCUAGCUCACAGUCAGUGUUCCAUUUCAUCCCAAAGGUCAGGGCUCUGUGCAGUUGACUGGCCUGCACAAACCAUUUCUGUAUGGACCUCGCUUUGUGCACGGUAAUUGUAUCUAGUAGUGUUAAUAUUUCCCUUCACUGGAACAAAGGAUCCUAGCCCAAAACCAUGAAAAAUAAUCCCAGACCAUUAUUCCUCCUCCGCCAAACUUUACAGUUGACACUAUGCAUUGGUGCAGGUAGCGUUCUCCUGACAUCCGCCAAACCCAGAUUCGUCCGUCAGACUGCUAGAUGGUGAAGCGUGAUUCAUCACUCCAGAGAAUGCAUGUCCACUGCUCCAGAGUCCAAUGGCGGUGAUCUUUACACCACUCCGUACAACGCUUGGCAUUGCGCAUGGUUAUCUUAGGCUAGUGUGCGGCCGCUCGGCCAUGGAAACCGAUUUCAUGAAGCUCCUGACGAAUAGUUUUUGUGCUGAUGUUGCUUCCAGUGACAGUUUGGAACUUGGUAGUGAGUGUUGCAACCGAGGAAGCUAUGCGUUUCAGCACUGGGUUGUCCUGUUCUUUGAGCUUGUGUGGUCUGCCACUUUGCGGCUGAGCUGUUGUUGCCCCUAGACGUUCACAAUAACAGCACUUACAGUUGACCCGGGCAGCUCUAGCAGGGCAGAAAUUUGAUGAACUGACUUGUUGGUAAUGUGGCAUCCUAUGACAGUGUCACAUUGAAAGUCCCUGAGCUCUUCAGUAAGGCCAUUCUACUGCCAAUAUUUGUCUAUGGAGUUUGCAUGGCUGUGUGCUCAAUUCUAUCACCUGUCAGCAACGGGUGUGGCUGAAAUAGCCGAAUCCACUCAUUUGAAAGGGUGUCCACACGCUUUUGUAUAUAUAGUGUAUGUAUAGGGGUAAUGUGACUAGGCAUUAGGAUAUAUGAUAAACAGAGUAGCAGCAGUGUAUAGAGUAGCUGCAGCUUGCAGAUAGCUCUGACAGUCGACAGCCUCCCAGUCCAGGCUGUGGUAGACACUGGAGCUGAAAUGACAAUCAUCUCUGAGAGCCUUUACGAGCAGCUCCCUGUGAGUGAGAAAACUUCUCUCAAGAAGACAUGAGUUCAGAAUGCUGAGUUGGGGAAAGACAUGACUGCAGUGGAUGGAUCAAAAGUUACAUUCCAUAUCGGCACCAGGAGCUAUGAAUAGGAGGUGACUCUGUCCUCCUCAGCCUGGACCUGUUGAGAGCUGGAAAUGUAACUAUCUAUGCCAGCGGAAGAGUCUUUAUCAAGGAGGAACCUUUGACUGCCAAAAUCGCUGGAGGCGACGGAUCAGACUACUUCGUAGCUCGGGUGCUCCUGGAGAAAGACGCAACCUCGCCAUCAGAGUGUGAAAUGUCUAGUCUGGGGUGAAGUUGACCAUCCGAAGCCUGGUGUUACUGCCUCUAACAGAAAGUGUCACCACAACCAAAAUGUGCCUUGGCGUCCUGGUCAAAACAUUCCUGAUGAUCCCUCCAACCCAUCUAGUCCAGUUGAGCAGGAUGAAGCAUGCACUCCUGGGGAACAGUCUUAAAGCACACUGCGGCCAGAGAUGAAAAAAGUGACUGCUGCAUCAGACCUACCUGAACAUCUCCAGGCCAUGUUUGUUGCUUCAAGCGAGGCAUUCAGUAGGGAAAAACAACAACAGUCAAUGUCCCUUUUUGCAAUGAACAACAUUGACUUAGGCUACAUGUCUGCUGUCACCCACACUGGAGCGGCUAGGCCAGUACAUCAACCGAUACGACGGAUAUUUCUCGGAGUCCAAGGAAAAGAGGAAAUGCACUUCAAGGCAAUGGUGGAAGCAGGUGUCGUCACACCAUCCUCCUCAGAGUGGGCAUCCCCCGUUGUCAUAGUUUGUAAAGAUUGUGGAAUCCGCUGGUAUGUCGAUUACCGCCGCCUCAAUAGCCUGACAGCCAAGGAUGCAUAGCCUUUCCCGAAGAGGGAAGUGUGUCUAGACGUCCUUGGGGGAUCCAAUGUCGUCUCCACGUUAGAUCUUCAUUCUGGCUACAGGCUGAUAGCAGUGGAUGAAAAGGACCAGGAGAAGAUGGUGUUUAUCACUAAAUAUGGGCUCUAUGAUUGUAUCUGCAUGCCAUUCGGCCUUUGUAACGCCCCACAUUUCAGAGGGCCAAUGGAGCUCGUCCUCCAUGGACUCCAAUGGGAAACACUAUUAAUCUAUCUGGAGGACAUCAUCAUCCUGGGGAGAGGAGUUGAUGAGAGCCUAGAACUGCUUGCAGAUGUCUUCCAACUCCUUCACAGCUACGGUCUGAAGCUGAAGCCAUCAAAGUGUCACCUGCUCAAGUAAGAAUUCCUGUUCUUAAGGCAUGUCAUGAGUGGUGAAGGCAUAAGUCCCAACCCUGCUCUGAUCAAGGAUGUGCAAACCUGGCAACCUCGUAGUAAUGUGCAAGAAGUGCAAGCCUUCAUAGGAUUAUGCAAUUACUACCGCAAGUUCGUCCCAGCAUUUGCGGUACUGGCCAGCCCACUCAAUAUUUUCCUCAAGAAGGAAGCUAAAUUAUUGUGGAGAGCAGAGCACCAGAAUGCCUUCAGUCAGGUGAAACUGACAACAGCCCCAGUGCUAGAGUAUCCAGCUGCAGAAGGGAAGUACACCCUUGACAUGCAUGCCACCAACCACAUCAUUAGAGCAGUGCUGUCACAUCUACAGUGGGCAGAAGAGAGAGUUAUCACCUAUGCAAGCACCCACCUCACGCCAGCUCAGCAGAAGUACUGGGUCACCAGGAAUGAGUUACGGGCCAUUGUCAGCUACACCCGCCAAUUCUACCAUUACCUACUUGGCUGGAAGUUCCUACUGUGCAGCGAUGUCGAAGGAGCUGCAGUAGAGCGGGUCAAGAGCUUCAAGUUCCUCGGUGUCCAAAGGACUUAAAAUGAUCCACACAUACAAGCCCAGUCGUGAAGAAGGCAUGACAGUGCCUCUUCCCCUCAGGAGGGAGAAAAGGUUUGUCAUGUCCCCUCAAAUCCUCAAGAAGUUCUACAGCUGCACCAAUGAGAGCAUCUUGACUGGUUGCAUCAAUGCUUGGUAUGGCAACAGCACCCCCCUUGAGCGCAUGGCACAAAAGAGGUUUGUGUGGACAGCCCAGUACAUCACUGGGGCCGAGAUCCCUGACAUCCAGGACCUCUAUAUCAGGCGGUGUGAAAGUAAGGCCCGGAAAAUCACGCCACAGACUGUUCUUUCUGAUUCUGCAACAUAUCCAGCAGAUCCACGGACGAUGCCAUUUCCAUCACUAUUAACACAGCCAUAACACAUCUGGACAAGAGGAUCACCUAUGUGAGAAUGCUGUUCAUUCACUACAGUUUAACAUUCAACACUAUUGUUUCCUCCAAGCUCUGCGGUCAGAGCCCUUGGUCUGGACAUCGCCCUUUGUAACUGGAUCCUGGACUGGGCAGACCACAGGCUACGACGAUUGGCAACAACAACACGUCCUCCACACUGACUCUUAAUACAAGGGACCCCCAGGUGUGUGGCCAAUUGAGAUAGUUUGGGAUGAGUUGGACCACAGAGUGAAGAAAAUUCAGAGACUUGUCUGGAACCCACUACUGCGUUGUCUUGGCUGUGUGCUUAGGGUCAUUGUCCUGUUGGAAGGUGAACCUUCACCCCAGUCUGCGGUCCUGAGUGCUCUGGAGUAGGUUUUCAUCAAGGAUCGCUCCGUUCAUCUUUCCCUCGAUCCUGACUAGUCUCCCAGUCCCUGUCGCUGAAAAACAUCCCUACAGCAUGAUGCUGCCACCACGCUUCACCAUAGGGAUAGUGCCAGGUGUCCUCCAGAUGUGACUUUGUCAUUCAGAGUUUACCUCUGUUUCAUCAGACCAGAGAAUCUUGAGGUGCCUUUUGGCAAACUCCAAGCAGGCUGUCAUGUGCCUUUUUCUGAAGAAUGGCUUCCGUCUGGCCCCUCUACCAUAAUGGCCUGAUUGGUGGAGUGCUGCAGAGACUUUUGUCCUUUUGGAAGGUUCUGCCAUCUCCACAGAGGGACUCUGGAGCCCUGUCAGAGUGACCAUCGGGUUCUUGCUCACCUCCCUGACCAAGGCCCUUCUCCCCCAAUUGCUCAGUUUGGCCGGGCGUCCAGUUCUAGGAAGAGUCUUGGUGGUUUCAAACAUCUUUCCUUCAAGAAUGACAGAGGCUACUUUUUCAUUUUGAGCACCUACCCCCCUGAAAGCCCUAUGCACGGCCCUGCAUAUCAAAUCAAAUCAAAUCAAAUGUAUUUAUAUAGCCCUUCGUACAUCAGCUGAUAUCUCAAAGUGCUGUACAGAAACGCAGCCUAAAACCCCAAACAGCAAGCAAUGCAGGUGUAGAAGCACGGUGGCUAGGAAAAACUCCCUAGAAAGGCCAAAACCUAGGAAGAAACCUAGAGAGGAACCAGGCUAUGUGGGGUGGCCAGUCCUCUUCUGGCUGUGCCAGGUGGAGAUUUUAACAGAACAUGGCCAAGAUGUUCAAAUGUUCAUAAAUGACCAGCAUGGUCGAAUAAUAAUAAGGCAGAACAGUUGAAACUGGAGCAGCAGCACGGCCAGGUGGACUGGGGACAGCAAGGAGUCAUCAUGUCAGGUAGUCCUGGGGCAUGGUCCUAGGGCUCAGGUCCUCCGAGAGAGAGAGAGAGAGAGAGAGAGAGAGAAAGAGAGAAUUAGAGAACGCACACUUAGA
ensembl:lncRNA